GCCGAGACUAGAGUCACAUCUGGAUACUGCCUGUUGUCCUGGUGUGCUAGAGUACUCGGACAGUGACCACUAAUCUAUAUUCACUGGCUGUUUCUGUUCUUGACUCAGUCAGUCACCAGGUUAGUGACAGGG
ensembl:snoRNA